ACCGUGAUAUUUCGUACAUGUACUAACGUCAUCACGCAGGAUUUAAUAUAUCAAUAAAAUGCGGAUAUACACGCGUACAUUGCUGUAUGUUCACAGAUGCAAUUAUAGCCUGCAAUUAUUUCUGUGAUACGUAGGAGUAUCGUUUUUCCUGAGCCCUCCAGUCUGCGAUAAUCCUACAGUAAAAGCUGCUAUUUGCAAUUCGUUCCAUAUGAGGAGAAUUUCUGUAUUUGCAUCGUGAUACUGUCUCUGAUGCUUGCUGCAUCCGCGCAGUCCACUUUACCACCGACUAAUUGCCAUUAAUUACGAUUGGACACGAUUUCACGGAAGGAAGAGCAGCUAUCCGUAGCACCAAGAUGAAGAAAUGUGUAAAAAAAAACACUAGAAAGUAGAAGAGGAAGAUGACAUUAAGGAUGACAAUUAUAAAGAAAGGCAAAAAAGAAAAAGAAGAAAAAAAAUGUGAAAGAUGGCACGUAUGUAUGUGGCGGACACAUAAUAUAUCGCAUGUCCCAAUCGAAAUGCCACCCCAUGUUCUAUUCACUCCUCUUUUACUCGAGGGUCUCCUAACACAACGAAUAGACCUGCCUGGAAAUAGUCUUAACCUGUUCUCUCUCUUUCUCAUCACAUAUGCACGCAUACAGCACGUACAAAUACCGCAUGGAAUGUAGUUCGCGUAAUAUUUAAUAAAGACAUAGGUUUCAGAUAUAUCAUUCACUUACGAUACAAUUUUAAAAGAUUUUGAUAUAAUAAAAACACUUGCCUAAAA